GACGAACGCUGGCGGCGUGCUUAACACAUGCAAGUCGAACGGAAAGGCCCUGCGUUUGUGGGGUGCUCGAGUGGCGAACGGGGGAGUAACACGUGAGUAACCUGCCCUUGACUUUGGGAUAACUUCAGGAAACUGGGGCGAAUACCGGAUAGGAGCUCCUGCUGCAUGGUGGGGGUUGGAAAGUUUCGGCGGUUGGGGAUGGACUCGCGGCUUAUCAGCUGGUUGGUGGGGUAGUGGCUUACCAAGGCUUUGACGGGUAGCCGGCCUGAGAGGGUGACCGGCCACAUUGGGACUGCGAUACGGCCCAGACUCCUACGGGAGGCAGCAGUGGGGAAUAUUGCACAAUGGGCGGAAGCCUGAUGCGGCAACGCCGCGUGCGGGAUGACGGCCUUCGGGUUGUAAACCGCUUUCGCCUGUGACGAAGCGUGAGUGACGGUAAUGGGUAAAGAAGCACCGGCUAACUACGUG
rnacentral:rRNA from 1 species